UGAGGAAUAUUGGUCAAUGGGCGAGAGCCUGAACCAGCCAAGUCGCGUGAGGGAAGACGGUCCUAUGGAUUGUAAACCUCUUUUGUCGGGGAGCAAAAAGGCCUCGUGAGGCCACAAGCGAGAGUACCCGAAGAAAAAGCAUCGGCUAACUCCGUGCCAGCAGCCGCGGUAAUACGGAGGAUGCGAGCGUUAUCCGGAUUUAUUGGGUUUAAAGGGUGCGUAGGCGGACUGGAAAGUCAGCGGUAAAAUCGAGAGGCUCAACCUCUUUCCGCCGUUGAAACUGUCGGUCUUGAGUGGGCGAGA
rnacentral:rRNA from 1 species